AACCUAGCCGCCUCCUUAAUCCCCUCUCUCAUCUCUCACUCAACAAUUCUGCAUCCUCACAAUUCACGCUCACUUCCCCCACUCUUCGAAGAUACGCUCUUUUUCUCACCAUACACAUCUCUCUGAACAAACACACAAAAACACACGAACUCACAGUCCAAAUAGCUAAAACAAAGGUUUUUGAAUUGAAAUUGAAGCUCAGAUCUGAAAUUUGGAAAAAUAUCAAAAAACAAAGAGAGAAAACAGCGUAAAAGAGGGAUUUCUGUAGCUGUGGAAUUGCAGUUUUAUUUGCUCUCAUCUUCUGGGUUCUAAGAGGUGAAAAUCCUCGCGGUUUACUGUUGGCUGAGCUCUGCCGCAUUCUCUUCCCCCACUGUUCUGUUGAAGUCAGUCAUCUUUUUUCUUUGGCAAUCAAGGUACUGUUUUCUCCAAUGUAGAUAUGCUAUUUUAAAUGAGAUUUAUGUUGACAUUAUUAGUGAUGCUUUAUUGUUUAAAGUUCAUAUCAAGCUUUCCCGUGUUUAAACCUUUUUUUUCAGAAUUUAGACUCUCAAUGCGAUUUUGCCUAAAACAGUCUAUGAUUCUCCUGUAGCUUAUCUGUGAACAUUGAGUCUAUUUGCUUUCCUCACUUCGUCUCGAUUUCUGCUUGAAGUUGUCUUUGUUCAUUUUGCCGUCAAUGAUUUGUUCCUACUUAUUUUUAAAUUUGGAAUCUGUUAAGACUUCUACCUUCAAGGUUGUUGAGGGGUUAGUUGAAUUGACUUUUAUUUGAGCAUGGAGAUUGAAUUCGUGUUAAGUAUUCUGUUUCGAGGUGAAAUUCGUGAUGCAUUAGCUACUGUGCUUCAGCUAGUUGCUCAGUUGAUUCCAUGUAUUGGAAACAAUAGAGUUGUUAUCAUCAUUCGCAUUUUUCGCAAGUUUUUCUUGUUUGUUCUUUGGACCGAGCUUACGAUAGAUGGAUUGAUAUCUUUUCUGCUGUUGGUUUGGUUAGUGUCAUUUGAAUUUGAUGAAUCAAUGUCCUUAAGUAUGUCGACAUCCUAGCAGACUCUUUCACCGUUGAUAUACCCAUUAACUUGCAUUUAUCUUUGCCUAACAUUGAAGUUCCAGUUUCAUAUUUUAAAGUUGGCGCACCCCUUAUGAGUCUGUUGAAGUUUCAUUAAUUUCAAAUAGCAAUUGUUUCGAUUUUAGUCACUUAGCAGGUUUAUUGUUGUCUUCUUAGAGUUUAAAAUGUUUUUUUCCGUGUCUCAUCCUCUUACAGUCGCAUUAGUAAAAGAUAUAGGCAUAAAUUGUUGGGUUGUAACAUUAAUUUUUUUGAAGUAUCAUUUUGAAUAGAUUCAUAAUAGUUAAAAUCAUACAUUUUUUCCACAAUAAUUCCAUACCAUAAUUCAUGACCCCACAAGUUAUCUCAAAACCUUAGGAAAUUAAUUUAACUCAUGAACAUCGUAGAAUGCUUUAGGCGCGUUCUAAUCUCUUAUCGUGAUUGUGUACACGUGCGCGUGACAUAAUUAUGAUUUUCAAAAUAAAUCAAAGUACGCAUUCGCGCGACUUUGGCCAAACAACCUUAAUAUUUAAUAUGGUGUUAUUAAUUGUGUACACGUACACGUGACAUAAUUUUUAGCACACCAAAUAAACGAAUUCACACACGCGUGAUUCGUUUCAAAAGAUAAUUCCAUAACGCCAUAAUUAAAAGCGGUAAAAGGUAAAACGCACAUAGGUUUUUAAAAAUACGUAUUUAAAUAAUUAAUUAAGCUAGGUAUGAUUAAAAGCGACCGUGCUAGAACCACGGAACUCGGGAGUGCCUCACAUCUUCUCCGGGGUUAACAGAACUCCUUACCCGGUCUUCUGUAUUUCACGGACUUUAAAACAGUCAAUUUCCUUGAUUUGGGAUUUAAAAAUAAACCUAUGACUUGGGACACCAUAAAAAUUAUUUCAAGUGGCGACUCUAACUAAAUAAAUAAUCCCAUUUCGAUUAAUGUCACUUUAAUUGAAAAAACUCCCUAUUCCUCGGGAAAAUGAGGUGUGACAAUAGUGAGCCGUAACUUGUGAUAGCAAGUUAAAAAUUUAUUUGUAAUAUAUUAUCAAUAAUAUGCUUAGAUAUAAUUAUUAAUUACCUUACAAUUAAAUUGAUUAUGUAAAUAAUUGAUGAGUGUUGUAUAUUGUCUUCAUCUUAAAUUCGGUGAGAAAUCAUGAACAAUUUACUAUGUUUCUGUCAUAGCAAUAGAAACAGGAUCAACAUAUAUAAUUAACUAAUAUGUAUUUUUUUAAUUGACAUGUACUAAGUAAUGAGUGUUCAAUUCAAAAGAAAGUUAUGAAAAAUGGUUUUAUUAGAGAUUCCCAAAAAGAUAGAAAAGUCGCUCGCUCAAAGAAAACUUUUUAGUAGUACUUUAUAUUGAUUAAAAUGGAACAAAAAUAUCAACAUAAAAAAGACUGUCUUCUUUCAUUUCAUUGACCCUAUUUGUUUCUUUAAAAUGAACUUGAAAAUAACUAUUGAAAUAUAUUUAAAAAAUAAAUCAAUUAAAUCUUCAAGGCUUGUGUAUUCUUGCUAAAAACGAAAAUAAAGUGAUAAAAUUAUAAAACUGAAACAAAUUUUAAGUUGAAGGACUUCUAUAAGAUAAUUUAUUUCUUUAUUGAGUAAUCAAUAUUCAUCAUUUUAAAAAAACAUAUACAUUUUAUUUUAUUUCUCAAACACAAUUUCUCAUAAACUAGCAUUUAUGAUUUUUUAAAAAUAUUUACUCAAUGAGACAAGGUACACGCGCACGAAAGCCCUUAGUGAAAUGUUGUUCGCGUUUUUUACUCUUUAAAAAUAGAUUCCAUACUAGAUAAAACAGUUAUUUAAUUAUUUUUCUAAUAUUUAAAAGCUCAAAAUCAACUAAAUUUUAUUUUUAAUUUUUUUCUUAUUUAAACUACAUAGAAGGUCCUAAUAUUUAGGACUUCAAAUUCAAUUAAAAUUUACUUUACUCCAAUUCUUUCCUUAAACCAAUAUUAUAUCCUUGUGAACUUUAAACAUGCUUUUGGAGUUUAAUGCGUAUUCUUAGCCUCUGCUGCAUAUAAUUGUUAGUAUCCUUUUCUUUUACAAGUACUUUCAAUAAUCGAUUGCCUAAAAGACAUCACCAAUGCAUGUUAAUUUUUUUCCUUUUUAUUUUUAAAGAGUUUUGAUUUAUCUUUAGGUAUAACUUUAGAAGUCAUAAUUAUUAGUGGUAAUGUUAAUUUUAAAAAUAAUUUGAUCUACAUUCAUACUAUUUAAAAUUGUAACUAUAACUGAUAUUUAAACUUUAAAUAAACAAAUAUACUUGGAACUUUGAAAUAACUAUAAAUAUGAAAAAUUGUCCUCAGUGAACUUGAUUUUGAAAUUUCAAAAUUGUUAGUGGCAGAGUUUAUUCGGAAUGAGUUUAAGGUAGUGUUAACUUUUAUUUGGUCUUGGAUGAACAAGUAUAGAAGAAAUUAAGACUUAGACCAAUAAGAAUCUAGCCAAUGUUUUUGCAUAAGAAGAGGUGUACUUAUCAUAUUUAUAAUUUUGAUGACCUUUAAAUGAACAAAUAAGAAUUCUAUAUACUUAAGUUACAAAGAACAAAUUUCACAUGUUAAAAAUAGACAUAUAAAUAUUUAAAUAAAAAAAAUUAAUUUUUAUAGAAAGGAGCAGAACACGUAUUUAAAUUUUUAAUAUCUUUUGUUAGCUUAACGUCAUUUUUCUGCAUGAAAUAUUUAUUUUAGAAUCGUAAUAAAAUAAAAUUAGAUUUUAUUUUUGUAUUGUGCAAAAAAAUAGAAAACUGAUUUAUUUGUUACACCAUGAUUAGCAUAAAUUUUUUAUACUCUAUUUAUGCCAACUGGAAGCCUGUGCGCUUAGUUUCAUUAAAAAACAUGUUCGUCCAAAAUUAACAAUUAAUUAAGUACUAACUAAUUUAUUAUUUUCUAGUAUUAUAAUAUUAUGAAUAUAACAUUUAUAAAAGAGAUGUUGCCUGAGAUAUAACAACAUAAUAUAUUAAAUAUCUUAUAUAAUAAUGAUAAUAAAAUCUCUUAAACUCCAAAUACUAUAUAACUAAUUCAACUAUAUUCACCAUCUUUAUUUAUUUUGAAGAUAUUGAAUUCAGCUGUUGUAUUAAUGUAAUGAUAUUCAUUUUGAUCAUUUGAAGAAAUAUCUUUAGUUUAACAUCAAUUGCUAUUUUUCAAUAAUUUAUUCUUUUUGCACGUUUUUUCCCAAUAUUUUGAACUUCUAUUUUGCAAUUCUUGGGUUUAGUCUAACAUUAAUUUUGACAUUUUUUCAACUUGAAAACACUAUUAGAUGUCAUAAAAAGUAAAAGUAGAAAAGAAAAAAAAUGUUUAACUAAUUGGGAAAAAGUACAAAAUUAGACCACGGGUUACGUGGUGAAGCAAAUGUCUACGUAUUUGGCCCCCGUUUGGCCAUAGAUUUUGCCAAAUUUUUUCCAAUUUUUUUUAGCAAAUACUUAAUUAUUUAUAGAUUUUAUCCAUAUUUUGGCAAAUUUUCAAAUCCCAAAACCAGCUCAAGAGCUAUUUUUGGCCCAAAAUUUUACCGUUUGAUUUUUAAAAAAAUUUCAAAAAUUGUCCUAAAAUAUCUACCUUCGCCAAAGUUAUUGUGCCAAUCUGUGGCAAUAUAUCGCAAAGAUAAAAUUUGAAAGUAAUUUGCUAAAAUCUGCUAAUGUUUGCAUAAAUUUUCUUCAGAUUUGUUUCGCUUGUUUUGUAUGAAUUUUCUUCAGAGUUGGGUAUUUUUGAUAGUUUUUAAAAACUAUGGGUAUAAGUCAUAUUUAAAAAAAAAAAAAAAGAAGUGAAAUAUGUUUUGAAAAAUUAUGUCCAAACAGAUUAUCAUCUUCAAACCAAACUUCACCCAAAUCAGAUUUUUUAAAACAAAUUUGAAAAUGUAUGGCUAAACGCCAACUUGGAAAAUAUUAUAAUUAGAAAAACAAAAAACCAACAUAUUCGCGCUUAAACCCCAAGCUCUGUCUGUAUUCGAAAGGGUUAAGGUUUUCCCUCGAAGCUCAGGGUCAUUUCUUCAAUCUAAAAUUAAGAUUUUGCUCGGCGUGCCGUAUCAAAGUUUAAGGUACCCAUUUGAUAAGUGUUUAUUUUUAUCUUCCAUUACCGAAAUCUCCCGCCUCCUAAUUCCAUUGGCUUCGUUUCUGAAAGUUUCUCAAAGGUUCAAUCUUUUUAAUUGUGUUUCCCAAUCUUGGAUAAUUGGGCUAAAGCUUUAUAUUAGUUGGAGUAGUUGCUUUAUGGGAAUUUGCUACAGCAUAAUGUUGUUUCAGAUUUCUGAAUAUGAAAAGAACAAAAGAAGUAGAUCGAAUUCUUUUGUAUUUUUCUAGGUUUGACAUUGUUUUACUUAUUGUAAUGUAUAGUAAUGUUACUUUAGAUACAAUAUGUGUUUUGAUUGUUACUUAAAAUUCUCGUAUUGUUCCAUAGUUACGUAACAAUGAAAUGUUCCAUUUUAUGCAAUGACCUAUUAGGUGUGGUCGUGUCGUUACCCUAUUUUUUAUUCUCAUUUUGUCCUUAAUAUUAUUGAAUAAUUAUAUUUUACCCGUUACACUACCCUUUUUUAUAAUAUCUCUACCUUGUACUCUACUUUUGUUUUGUAAUAUUGUUAACUUAUUUUUCAAAUUGUUGGUACGUGACAUUAUGAAAAGACGGGGAAUGAUACAAUCUAUCCAAAUGUUGUAUUAAUCAAAACAAUACAAUAUAAUACCAUACAUUAUGAAACAAUAUGUAACAACCAUCCAAACAAGUUGUGAGUGCACAUCGGCACAUCUAUGUGGCUAUUUGAAUUUUUCUGGUCUUCUUGCAUGUUUGUCCCUCCCACAUGCUUCUCUCUGUCCUUUGCCAUCUCUUUGAUUCACUUCUCAGCUAUGUUGCGCAGGCUCUACCGCCGCACCCGUGUCGGAUUCUCCAAAAAUGCACUACUUUUGGAGGAUCCGACACGCACCAAGCCACCCACUUACAUUUUCGGAGAAUCCGAGCAACAUAGCUUCUCAGUUCAGAGUUCUUUUUCUCAACCUAAAUUUAAGCUUUUGCUCGCAGCGCAGCAUCAAGGUUUUCAAUGAUUCCAUUUUCUUGAUUAUGUUUUACAAUCUUGGAUAAUAAGGCUAAAUUUUGUAUUAGUUGGUUUUGGAAUUGGUUGUAUGUUGUUUCAUUGAUUCCUGAAUCUGAAAAGAACUCUUGUGUUUUACUCUAGGUUUGACACUGAGUCUAAAUUGGCACAUCUAUAUGACUGUUUAAACUUUUCAAGUUUUCUUUUUGCUCGUAUUGUUCUUGUUGGAAAAGGUAAAGUUUGCAUUUUGCAAUUAUUUACUUUGGUGGAAGUAUCAAUGACCUUAUCAUUGAUUUUUAAAGUCAUAUGGGAGUUAACUAUUUGAAGUCAGUGAGUAAAGAAAUAAAUGAAACAGUAGACUGUUUUAAAUGGAACAAUUAGAGAGUCCUUUUGAAAUUUAUGCUUAUAUUUGAAGUGAUGCAUUUUACCAAUCAAAUGAUGUUUGGGGCCAAGCUGAAACUACUUCUAGUGGUUUGGGUAUAAACUAAACAUAUCCACAAUUUUCAACUGCUUUAAGCCUCAGAAUCGCACUAUCCCUCCUUUGCACUAACGCACUACUUUUCAUCUCUUUCCGCAAUGAACACCUAUUGUUCGAAACCUUUUUUUCCCCAAUGAUUUUCAAUGGCAAAACAAGAGUUGUGCUGAACUGGAUUAUAAUGCUCUGUUUGCUCUCAUUUCUCAAAAGGAAGUGUCGACGCUGAUAUGAUAACUCCUUUUACACAUAAAAACCCAUUGAUAUGAUAUUUCCUUCUGAUUUUACAAGUUAACAUUUUCCUUAUUCCUAUGUUAUAAUAGCUGAAAUUUGUGAUGGUAUACUAAUUUGUGCAGUAAGGAUAAGAUUUUAUUUAAUUAUGCCAAUAUGAGUUUCACAAAACAUAUUCUCAAGCUGGGGUUAAAAAAGAGAGUUGCGGCUGAUUAAAAAAAAGAUAAAGGAAGAGAGUUGUGGUAGAUUGAUAACUAGUAAAAUUAUAGUCUCAAGUAUGAUGAACUCCUUUGAAUAUGGAUACAGAAGCUUCAUAUAUUCAAGCCUAACUAGUUUACGAAUGAGGGGCAGUUGGUAGAUCAAUUGAUUGAUUUAGAUAAAUAAUUGCAAAGAACCUGAGUUUUAUAUUGGGAGCAUUGCUUGCUUGGAUCUGCACUUUCUUCCACUUCGAUUCUAUCUGUGAUUACUUUGUUUCCUCCAGUUUAUGUUCCUUUGGCACUCUUUCAUUCUUUCAAAUAUUUGUGUACGUGAACCAAAGCUAGAAACAGUGACUUUGACUAGUUGAACAUUCGUUGUUGUUUAUGCUUUUGGUCUUUUAAGACAUUGGACAGCUCUUAUCUCACUUCUUAUGAUGGUUUCUCUGUCUUUUUUGAAUCCAUAAACUUCAUUAUUUUCGAAUUUUGGAAAUUUGCAAUUAUUUUGAAAUGAUCCUCAUUUGUUUAAACAGUCAAUGGAACACGGUUCAUUUGAAGAUCCAUCAAAAGCAACAUUCUCGUUCACAGAUGAGGACCAUACGCUGGCAAAUGCUGUCCGAUUCACUCUAAAUCAAG
rnacentral:lncRNA from 1 species